UUUGGUGUUGACAGCUGAUCCUAUUCCAUCAGUUUAUGAUCUCUUUCAGGGACAGCCUUAAGAUUUCAUUUUUGCAUUCACUGCAGCAUCACAGAUCAAGAAAACAAGGUGCAGGGAAAUUCUUUAGGGAUUAUGUGGAGCUUUGAGAAGUUGGAAGUUAAUCUUUUUAUUUUGCCCAAAGGCAGAUGACAGAGAUUCUGGAUCAAAUCACACAUUAAGAGAAAUGCAUAUUUCCAGCUAUUAUCAUGUUUUCUUUCUAGGUACGCAUUUGUUUCAAAGCACAAUCAAACUUGAAAAUGAACCCUGUCUUUACUCCAAGUGGCCUAUAUCAUAAAACAAAAGCAAGCUAAUUUGUAAAAUGUGGAAUAAGUGGAACUCAUGCUGGGACAAUCUGACAUCCUCAGUCAAUUCAGAGAUCUCUGCUACUAAUGACAUGCUACAUGUAUGUCACCUAUGAGUGUGUGUUUGGGAGAGACAGACAGACAGUUGAGAAUGGCUACGUAGAAUGUUCUCCAUCAUGGUUCACCAGUUCCAACUUUAUUGCCUUUUCAGCACCAGGGAAAUACCUUCAUCUGUUUUCAAGCUUUGCAGCUUCAUUUUUUUAAAAUCUUGCUGACCGUUUUAAACUUCUUUUAUGAUUUUAGCUUAUUACAUGUGCUUUUGUAUAACUGCAUAAUUCUCUUUUUAAAACUUCCUUGGCAAUGUCAUUGAAGGACAUUAUAAAUCCACUUCAAAAACUGCAUUUGUUGAUGAAUGUUACAACACUUCCAUUUAGACUACUGUACUUCUGUGACUGGCUUAAUGUAUUGUUUCUAUUGCAUCUAAAACUAUUGCACUCUUAAAAUAACUGUUUCAGAAGAAGUGGUUGCCAUUCAACAUUCCAAAAAGAGUGAAAUUAUAUUCCACAUCUUAAAAUAUGAAAUAACUAAUGGGACAAUCUUUUACUCAUUUGUCUGCAACUACCACCCUUUUGAUCUCAGUAGGACAUACUGCUGAAUAGAGACAUACAGUAUAGGUUUGCAUUGUAAAAUAUCAUUGUUUUCCCCCUCUACAAUGUGUUCUACUUCUGUUUAAAAGGAUCAUUUCCAAGAGAACAGUAAAAAGCAUAAAAACUACU
rnacentral:lncRNA from 1 species